rnacentral:misc_RNA from 1 species
UUUCCGUAGGUGAACCUGCGGAAGGAUCAUUAUUGUAUAACCGAGGUGCGAGGGUUGUCGCUGACCCGAAAGGUCGUGCACGCCCGAGUGCCCUCACACACAUCCAUCUCACCCCUAUGUGCACCACCGCGUGGGUCCCCCUUUGGCUUGUUCGGAGGGGGGCUUACGUUUUCACACAAACUUUGUAUGCAGUGUAGAAUAUAUUUUUUGUUUUUGCGAUCACGCAAUCAAUACAACUUUCAACAACGGAUCUCUUGGCUCUC